GUUCCUGUAGUGUAGUGGUUAUCACAUCCGCCUCACACGCGGAAGGUCGCAAGUUCGAGCCUUGCCAGGAACA